rnacentral:rRNA from 1 species
CUUCAGAGCAACAAAAGCUAGAGGCGCCCGCACCUCCUGCCCGCGUGGCCGCUCUCCUCUGCUCCGUCUCUCUCGCUCCACUACUUAGCCGAGAGAGCUCGCCCGCCGGUUCCUCUCUCUUCUCCUCUGGCCCUCUCGGCUAGUAGGAGUACUGGGCUUGACCAGACCGAUCAAUCGAGGCCGAGGAUUAAUCGCGCGCCUCCGGCCUGCCUUCUUCUAGCUGGUACACAGGAUGUCAACCUCACCUAUUCAGAUAUAUGUCUGGUGCAUUCUCCUAUUUGCCAAUGUUGGGAUAUCCGCAUCUUCACCUCUGGAAAAAGACGCACUCCUCGACAUCAAAAUUCAUUUGGAGGAUCCACAGAAUUACCUGAGCAACUGGGAUGAAUCUCACUCACCGUGCCAGUUUCACGGUGUAACGUGCGAUGAAAUUUCUGGUGAGGUCACAGGAGUGUCACUCUCAAAUGCCUCGCUGUCAGGCACAAUAUCACCAUCAUUUUCUGUUCUCCACCAGUUGCAUACUUUGGACCUCAGCGCAAAUUCCAUCUCAGGCACUAUCCCUGCAGCACUGACCAACUGCACAAAUUUGCAAGUUCUUAAUUUGUCAAUGAACAGCUUGACAGGCCAACUGCCUGAUCUUUCAUCAUUGCUCAAACUGAAAGUUCUUGAUUUGUCAACAAAUGGUUUUUCUGGUGCAUUCCCUGUGUGGAUCAGCAAAUUAUCAGGCCUAACUGAAUUGGGCCUAGGAGAGAACAGUUUCGAUGAAGGUGGUGUUCCUGAAAGCAUUGGACUCCUGAAGAACCUGACAUGGCUAUUCUUGGGGCAAUGCAACCUUAGAGGAGAGAUACCAGCUUCAGUCUUUCAUUUGGAGUCACUUGGGACCCUGGACUUCUCGCGCAAUCAGAUGACCGGUGUGUUCCCGAAGGCGAUAUCCAACUUGCGCAACCUGUGGAAGAUUGAGCUCUACCAAAACAAUCUGACCGGUGAAAUUCCUCCUGAGCUUGCACACCUGACAUUGUUGUCUGAAUUUGAUGUGUCUCAUAAUCAACUUACUGGUGUACUGCCCAAGGAAAUUGCUAGCCUGAAGAAGCUUAAGAUCUUCCAUAUCUACAGGAACAACUUCUACGGUGAGCUUCCUGAAGGACUGGGGGACUGGGAGUUCCUUGAGUCGUUUUCAACUUAUGAAAAUCAGUUCUCAGGAAAGUUCCCUGCCAACCUUGGCCGGUUCUCACCACUCAAUGCAAUUGACAUAUCAGAGAACUAUUUUACUGGUGAAUUUCCAAAGUUCCUGUGUCAAAGCGAUAAAUUGCAGUUCUUACUGGCUUUGAGCAACAACUUCUCAGGUGAAUUCCCCACCUCUUACUCUUCUUGCAAGACACUAGAAAGGUUUAGAGUAAGUCAAAAUCAGUUCAGUGGGAGCAUUCCUCAUGGCAUAUGGGGAUUGCCUAAUGCUGUGAUCAUUGAUGUUGCUGACAAUGGAUUUAUUGGAGGAAUAUCUUCUGAUAUAGGCAUUUCAGCCACCCUAACCCAGCUGCUUCUUCAGAACAACAACUUCUCUAGUGAGCUUCCAAUGGAGCUGGGAAAUCUCUCUCAGCUCAAGAAGCUAGUUGCUUCCAACAACAGAUUCUCUGGCCAAGUCCCUGCACAGAUUGGUAACCUGAAGCAAUUGUCAUACCUGCAUUUGGAACAGAAUGCACUGGAAGGGUCAAUACCACCAGAAAUUGGUUUGUGCAACAGCCUAGUUGACCUUGAUCUUGCAGAGAAUUCUUUGUCUGGCAAAAUUCCUGACACAGUUGGCUCCCUUUUGAUGCUGGAUUCACUCAAUCUAUCCCAUAACAUGAUCUCUGGUGGAAUCCCUGAUGCAUUGCAGUCACUGAGGCUAAGCUAUGCUGAUUUCUCUCACAACAAUUUGUCUGGACCAAUCCCCCCACAACUCCUGAUGACUGCCGGAGAUGAUGCAUUCUCUGAAAACUCUGACCUAUGUGUCACUGACACUUCAGAAGGCUGGAGGCAAUCAGGCACCAGUUUACGCCCUUGCCAGUGGAUUGACAACCAUCAUAGCUUUUCACGGAGGCGGCUUUUUGCUGUGCUGAUCAUGGUGACCUCUCUGGUUGUUCUCUUAUCUGGAUUGGCAUGUCUGAGAUAUGAAAAUAACAGGCUUGAGGAUUUCAACAGAAAGCAAGACACUGAGAGUGGUGAUGACAGUGACUCAAAGUGGAUUGUCGAGUCCUUCCAUGUGCGAGGGGUCAAUCCAUCAGCUGCUUUGCCGGUACCCAUGGUUACAUAGCUCGCUGGCUUCCAUAUUCUCUCAAGGCGCGAGAAGAGAGUGACGUGAACUCUAGUCUUGUGCCCUGAGAGUUUCUUAGUGGACGUAGCCGGACAGACUACCAGUUUGAAGGUGAACUGGAAACUGUCUCCUGGGUUUGAUCCCAUGACUGCAGCAGUUUGAUCUAUAAGUUGGCAACUAUGCAUCAGAAGAUAUAAUAAAGGUCUUUUAACAUUGCCCUUGUCUAAAUUGUUCGAGCCCCUUCUGAGCGACCGACGAUGAGAGAAGUUGUGAAAAUGCUUAUUGACAUUUAUUCUACUUCCGUAUUCGGAGGACAAAGAACAAGAAUAAUAAGUAAAAGCAGGUUACCUUUUCUUUGUAAGAUGCCACCAUCAACAAGAUGAGGACCUUUACACUCAGAAUAGCAGCAACACUCUGAAGUAGCAGAUUAGGACCUUAGAAUGUAUCACUAGUGAGCUGGAAGCAAGUAACUAGCAGGCUGUUAAUAAUAAUCUGGAGGUGUAGUAGCCUCAUAGGUGAUGUAUCUAGCAGUUUCUGUAUAAAUUCAGUCAUAUAGCUUGCAGUUUCUGUAAAAAUGUUAGAUGAUGAUUUACUGUACUGCACUGUUAGAUAAUGAUGAAACAUAGCAGCGUA